CAGCAGUCUGAAAACGAGUAUACACACACAAAGAUUAAAACAGAUCUUACGAUACUUUGAUUCUAGCAUCAGUACACAUUCAGCAAGUAGCUCUAUGAACUAACUUUCCAGCUUGGACAACACUGUAUCUUUUCUCCUUAAGCAGCUCUAGCAAAAACAAUGGGACUAUUAACCCAGGAAGCAGACAGUUGCUAAUGCUAUCAUAACUUAUUUCAUUCUUUCCAAAUUGAAACAAUACCUCUUUUUUUUUUUUUUUCAGGGUAUUUUAUGUCUUUUCCUUCAAGUCAUGAAUGUACAGUAAGAGUUUCAGGCUGAUGUCAACUAAGCAGAAAAGCUUCCACUGAGCCCACAGAUACUCCAUUCUUCCUACGAGUUUCAAGUCUCAUCUCAGAAGAUGUUGAAGAGCAGGUGGGACAGUACUACAAGACAAGAAAGAGGGUAAUUAUGGGAUCGAAGUAAAAAUCUUUUCUCGCUUAACACAUGAAACUCCACUGAAAUUAUAAGAAGGGACCUCUACAAGUUAUCCAAUUCAAACACCUGCUCAAAGCAGGACUGACUUCAGCCAGGCAGUGCAGGGCCUUGUCCAGUCAACUUCAGAGUAGCUCCAGGAAUGGAGAACCCUGUCCCUCUGGGCCCUUUUUCCAGGGCUUGACUAUUGUGGUGGAAGAAUUUUCCUAAUACCUAAUCAUAAUCUCUCCUAUAGUCACCUGCAUCUGCUGCCUCUCACCUUACCAUGCACCUCUGACAAAAGUCUUGCUUCGUCUCCUCCAUAUCCUCCUUUCAGAUAGCUGAAGAGAACAAGAAAACCCCAGUUCUAUCAGCUUCUCCUUGUGUAUUGUGCACUUCAGCCUGCUAAUCAUACUAGAGGACUCACUCUAAUAUGUUACGUAUCUUUUUCACUACCAGGGAGUCGAAAACUGGACACUGUAAUUCAGAUACAGCCUUGCAAGUGCUGAACAGAGGCAAGAACCACUCUUCCUUGGAAGGGUAUGCUAGUGACUUGGACCCAGAUGAUAUAGGACCUUGGUCCUUUUUUUUCCGUGGAGUUGUCUUCCAUCUGACCAGCAACCAGGCCUGUGCCAUUGCAUGACUUUAUUCUCUUCCAAGUGCAGGCCUCUGCAAGUUCUGCAAAUGCUGAACUUAAGUUUCUGCCAGCCCAUUUUUCUCAGCCUUAAAGGUCCCCCUGACCAGCAACUCAAGGUCCUCAGGAGGUCCAUUCAGCCCUUGCUGAAACCUGCAAGCAGCAUAUUCAUUGUUAUCAGAGCUCUAACUACAAGGCAGGUACCUGUACCAGUGCUUCAAUCACAACAUUCAAUUGCAAUGCAAAUACAUAUGAAAGCGACCCAGACAAAUCAGCAAGGCUUCAACUAGUUAGUGAAAUUUCAGAGCUACUCUCCAUACAAUUUCCCACUGUAUUAUUACCUUGAAGUGAUAUAAAUUUAGAGGGUUUUAUGGCUAUUAUUCUGUCAAGUAGAAAAAUAUUUUUGCAUAAUGUCAACAUCAUUUACUUUGCCUGUUAUCAAUAUACGAACAAAGGAAAACUUUGCUCUCACAUAAACAGUUCAUGCCUUCCAAUGAUAGUAUUAACGCAAGUUGGUGUGCAACAAGGUUUACUGCAGUUUUAUGCCACUCAGGUUUGUUUAAAGUAAACAAGAGUAAGAAGUGACAGAGAUGGAAAAGUAACUUGUUUUUUUCAAAAUAUUUUACAUUAAAUUCAUACCACUUUGGUAUAUGGCAAGCCCUUACAGACACCGUAGUACAAACUCUCUUAAACAAUGUAGUCUUCAGCAGCAACCAAGGCUUUUGCCAUGGUUAGCUACUGGGAGAUCUAAAAAUCCCAAGACCCUUAUGACAGUCAUUUGCCAAUGAAUAAAGUCUGUCCUCAGGUUACUUUUACUGUACAAAGUUAUGAACAUCAAUCUAUUUGAGGGAAAGAAAUUUCUUUUUGAAACCAUAGCAGUAAAACUCCUUCCUUCAAAAAGCUUAGUCCUGAAAGAUACAGACCUAUAAAGACUUACUGGUUGACUGCCUAUUGUAGACAGGCGUAUCUUGAAUCACAUUCUUCCUUAAAUUAUUCUUUCAUUUAUGUACUACAUUAUCUUACCGUGCAUUAAUCAGACGCUCUCCUACACCUGCCUUAUAUACUCUGAAGGUGGGGAAAAGUUCCUCAACUUUCUGUCUGGAAGCAUCCAAUAUACUUACUUGGGACAUAAGCAACACACAGUUUCUCACAGCCAAGCAAACCCAGGGGCGUGCAGCAGCGGCCUAGCCUCCUCUGGAACUGCGGCCGGAGGACCGUGUCUCCACAGCCGUGUCACCCAGGGCUGCCGGCCGACGUCCCCGUGCCCCCUUCGACCCGGCGGCCUCACCAGCCCCGGCAGAGCUUUACUCUGGUGAAUUAUUUUAUGCCGCCAACAGAAAGGAAAAAACGAGUGGAAAAAUUGCCUACUGUGUACACCGAGAGCAGAUGCCGAAGUCAUAUUUAAACAGCUGGUCUAAUUAAAAUUAUUUUUUAAAAAGCAGUUAUAGAAGGAAAGGCUCCCUCUCUGCGGGCCGUGUACCUUUCUCCAUUGUGUUUCACUCAGACUUGUGAAGACUUACAAGGUUACGGAAAAUUAAAAUUAUUAACUACUACGAUUA